CACGUAGGAGGCGAGCGUUGUCCGGAAUCAUUGGGCGUAAAGAGCUCGUAGGCGGCUUGGUAAGUCAGGUGUGAAACCUCCAGGCUCAACCUGGAGACGCCACUUGAUACUGCCAUAGCUAGAGUCCGGUAGGGGAGCGUGGAAUUUCUGGUGUAGCGGUGAAAUGCGCAGAUAUCAGGAGGAACACCGGUGGCGAAGGCGGGGUCUCUGGGCCGUAACUGACGCUGGAGGAGCGAAAGCAUGGGGGAGCGAACAGG
rnacentral:rRNA from 1 species